AGCACAAACAAUGUCUCCCCCCAGACUUUGGAACUGAAUUGGGAUCUCCCUUUUGUUAAGUUCUUUUUAAGGAUAACAGGAUUUAGGGUAGGGCCAAACAGCCACUUGACCCACUUGAGAGAUUGAGUAAUAAAAUCAGCAAGCUCCAGGCAACAUUUUGGACUGCAGUGACUCAGCCAUGUGGUGGGAAGGAAGGGACAUGUAGGUGUCCUUAGGACCCUCCUCUUCCUGAGAUGAGGCAAUGGGGGCGGCUGAUCUUGCAGCAGGCGCUCGCUCCAUGACCUCUACUCUGCUCUCUACAGAAAACCAAAGUGGGGUUGGGGAGGCCAGGAGCUGCCAUCAAGCAGGUGCCAUUGUAGGGCUUGGUUGGAUGUAACAUGGACACUCUAGACACGUGUUGGUGAAGACAGGGCACAUGUGCUCCUGAGGCCCAGAGGGGGCUGCUCCAUUCCCCCUCUCCACUGCCUGAGGACAUUUUUUGCAUGCCUACCCCUCUGUCCAGCAGCCCAAUGUGAGUACUUCCUCCCUCCACUAUCUGGGGUAAUGGGGAUGUGGGGGGGGAGGCUCACAGGCAGCUUGAAGGUGCCAUUUAGGCACAUGAUCUCUAAAAGGUUUGCCAACACAGAUCUAGACCAAGAAGAGCACUAGGGAAAGUGAUGCUAAAAGGAUACAGAUAUAAAUAUCAAGCCAGAUGUUAGAUGUAGGCCUAGCCUACCUACCACUGGUUAUGUCAGUCUGCAGGAGGUACGUU
rnacentral:lncRNA from 1 species